rnacentral:lncRNA from 1 species
AAAAUAGAUAAUCAUUCAUCGUAUAAGACUAGUUUUAUAAAUAAAUUUUUUGAAGAACUAUUUUUUCAAUAAUAAAAAAAAGAAUUACACUGUCCUCUACUACUCUAAUCAGAGUACCCUAUCUUAUCUUAGACUUCUUCAAUCGGUGACCCUUCACAUUCCAUCCAAAUACUUUAUUUUUAGAAUACUAAUAAGGAAGAACUUCAAAUACCAUUCAUGUGGUUUCGUAUUUUCUCACUUUAAUACUCCGUGAUUUAAAGUGUAUUAAUUUAAUAUUCUGUGAUUUUAUUUUUCUCUUUUUAUUAUCUAUUUUACUAAUUUUUUUGUAAAAUCAAUGAUGAAGUUAAAACUAAGGGUACUAAAAUUAAUAUUCGAUAAAUCUAAGUGCGGUAUCUAAAACUUUUUAUAUAUAAUUUAAUAAAAUAUUAACGAAAGUGCUGACGAAAAGAUAAAAAUAAAGACACAGAAUACUAAUUUGAUAUACUUUAAAUCACAAAAUAUUAAAAUAAGAAAGUGCGAAACUAUAUGUGGUUUGGGAGAU